CUGUACAUUAACAAUGUUGACAUUCCACUGGCAAAUCAUUGGUGAGAUCUAAGUAGCUUUGUAAAUAUGUGCACAUUGUUAAUAUAUAGUUUUAUUUAUUUUAUUUUUUUACAUAUGUAGUAAGCGAGAGAUGGAGCCCCUGGUGGAGUAGUGGGCUAAAGCUUGUGACUUGAAGGUUGGGCUAUUGAUCUUCAAGCUGCCAGGUUCGAAUCCCACCUGGGGAGAGCACGGAUGAGCUCUCUCUAUUAGCUCCAGCUCCAUGCGGGGACAUGAGAGAAGCCUCCCACAAGGAUGGUAAAACAUCAAAACAUCCGGGCGUCCCCCGGGCAACGUCCUUGCAGACGGACAAUUCUUGCAGUUUCUCAAGUCGCUCCUGGCACAAAAAAAAAGUGAAAGAUGAUCAACAGCUCAGGCAGUUCAUCACUUUGAGGAAUCGCCAAAACCCAUCUGCAGGAGCUGAUGGCGGUGGAAGAGGAUGAGGAGGAGGAGGAAGCAGCAGCAACAGAGUUGGAGCUGGGAGCCAGCAACAGAGGCAGAGGUGAGGCCAAGGCUGCCUCUUGGCUGGGAGGCUCCCGGAGCUGCCGAGACCCCCAAUGAGCUGCACCAUGGCUGAGCACAUCCGGCCCACAAGUCAUUGUGGGAAACUUAGUGUUUGUGUUAGUCAUUAUUGACUUUGUUGACAGAGGCUUGCAUCCUUUUGCUACUUGCAACUUCAGUAGAUUUGUUGAGCCAAGGAAACCUACCAAAAUGUCACCAUUAUUUUGGUAAGUCCAUUCUACUUGGGACUAAUAAUAGGAUGGAAGGUACAGUAUGGUUUUACUUUGUCCAUAAGGAAUAACUACAAUUAUUUCAAUCACCUAGUCUUGAUAUUUGUUUCCUUUCUAGGUGGCUAGACUGCCAUUUUUGCUAUUAACAGAAAGAAGUAAUGGUCUCUUAUGUUGAAUUUUUCAUUAUUGCCUUAAAACAAUGACAGUAAUCCUGAUACCAAUGGGACCUUUUCUCUGGAGGCACUACAGUUAUUAAAUGGCUUUCCUAUUUUUCCAUUUCCUGAAUCUUAUUUUAGUAUAUCUGUUCUAUACAAUUAAAUAUGUUCCAUGCCACUCUAAUUGUCAUGGCAGUGUUCUAUGAAAUCCUGAGAUUUGUAGCUUCAAGCAGUACUUAGAAUUUUCUACUUUAGAAUUCUAAUGCCGUCUUUUAGAAAAGCGCACUACAGUGGAGCUCUUUAGCAGAGAAUUCAAAAAUCCUCACCAAGCUACAUAUGUCAAGAUUCUAUGUUCUGUUCAAUUCUUCUGUUAUAUAGAUACAUUUUGGGGCAAUUACUUAAAAAGUUAUUCUGCUACUCAUUAAAGGAGCUGAAGACAUAAAAACAGGAAGCAAUGUAACUGCCCACAUCCCUACUGCACAACUAUAUACAUUCUCAGCAGCAGUGGCAGGACCUCCCUUGCAAUUCUUAGUGCAUGAGUCAGAAGAUAUUUGGAAAAAAAAUGUACCUAUAAUUUUUAAAACUGUAAAGCAGAUCCAAAUAUAUCAGAGCAUUUCAGGCCCUAUCUACACUGCCAUCUCAGGCCCUAUUAAACUGCAUUAUAUGGUCAGUGUAGACUCAUAUAAUCCAGUUCAAUGCAUUUAAACUGGAUUAUAUGAGUCUACAUGGACCAUCUAAUGCAGUUCAAUCUACAUUAUAAUGGCAGUAUAGAUGGGGGCUCUCACACAGACCAUGGAAGCUGGGAGCAUGUAUAUAUGUGUCCACAGAAUGCACAAUACUCCAGGCCAAUACGGAAUUCAUGGAUUGGAGUAUUUGUGCAUUUCUGCAUAGCCCAAAUGUCAGGUGAAAACCUCAGAGCCCUUUUAAUAAUGACUAAUUCAGAAAUGCAACAUAUGUGCUUAUUUUUCUUGUAUAAAUAGCUUUAGCAUUGGAACGCCUGAGCCACAUUGAGUCUGAGAAGUAAAGAAGGGAAGUUUAACUCUUCUUGUUCCUGUCAGUGUACCUAGAAAUGUCUUCACCACAAAGCCACUCUUUGGAUUUCGGUGGAAACUCCUUCACACAAGUGAAAACUUUCCCUGAAAUGCGAAUAAUAGAUCAGAGAGGUGGCUUUUGUCACAAAAAUAACAGAGAGAUUGAGAGAGAAAUAGGUCUUUCCUCUUCACAUCCACACACAUACUCCACAGUGAUCCAAAGGCUACCUGGGUUUCCCUUUGGCUGCUAUUUAUAUAACAAACAAUGUACUUGUAAUUGCAUGCAAUCAAACUGUCAAAUCUAGUUUGCCUUCCUGUUGUUAAAAGUCAGUGGCAAAGAUAUGACCUGUGUGGAAAACAGGAUAUUAUUGCUGUAUAUGAGACGGAGCUAUGUUGAUUCUUAAAUAAGAUAUAUAUGAUACAAGGCUCGUGUACUGCUGUUACUGGGCAGAUUCUUAUUAAAGCUUGAGCAAGUGAGCUUUACUAUUGGCCUAAUUCAUAGCAGAUGAAGGAUGAAGAAAAUGGAGUAAGAACACUGUUUUAUUAAUCUGUGCAUAACUAGGUUACUGAAAAAAGCAGAUCACUAAAAUAUCUGCCAACUGCAGUAUUUUGUUGGCGCAACAAUGAGUAAAUCCAGUGUCCAAGAAAUGUAGUUUCAUUUUAUGAAAAUAGUAAAUGAAGAGUUUAUCAUCUGCAGUAUACAUUUGUUUUGGCCAUAACCUGGGUUUCAAAUUCUGGAUGCAAUACAGAGAUGCUGUGCUGAGUGUUUCUUUCCUUGCCUUUCCUUUGAGACUAUACUGGUAACAAAGGUCUUUCUCACUCAAUAAUAGGACCACAUUUCAAGCUGAUUGCUCAGCCUACUGGCCAUUACAGUAUACCAUAAUUAAAUUAUGAAGGACCAAAUAUGAGAACACGGCAUCGAAGCAAAGUAAACAACAAAUUUGCUCUAAUUGUUGAUCAACAAAAAUUGUAGUAAUUACUGACCAACAAAAUCAACAAUUACAUCAAUCAAAAUCAUUUCUAGAAAUUGGGAAGAUGGAAAAUCUUUGACCUUCCAGAUGUUUUGAAUGAAAGCUUUCCUAACUAUUUGCCAUGUUGACUGGAGCUUAAGUCCUACAUAGAGGGACAGAAAGAGACCCUGAUAAAAGGUAAUAUUUAGAUUUAUUUUUAAAGUAUUAGUAACAGAUACAUUACAAAUAAAUGUCAUAGCAGAUUUUGUCACCAUACCAGUUAAUAAAUCAUUUAGUCAGUAAUUGAAAUAGAGAUGUAUUGGACCUCAAAUUAUGAAAUGUGUGUCAAAUGUGGGAUGCAGCCAUUGAUAAUAAAGCCUCUGAUUUUGCCUUCAA